ensembl:lncRNA
CAAGAGGAAGCAGAAGGGAUGACAUUAAGCCAGCGUGACAGGCCCACGUCUGCCUGUCGCACCAGGGACUCAGCAACAACUGUCUCUCAAAACUCCAUUUGCACCCUUCCAACAAGCAGGUCCAGCCCCCCUGCUGAUGGCCACCUCCUUUGUUUGAUGAAGUCUGUGGUUGUUGUGAGACUUAAAGGAAAAUAAUAAAUCUGAAGUGCUCAGCAGAGAGCCCUGCACACAGCUGUAUCCUUGGGCUUAGAACUACUAGCUGGCAUACCACCAGCCCUCAGUAAAUAUUCACCGAGUGAGCAAAUGAGUUGGACAGCUCAAAUUCCUUCCUGCCCCAGAAGCUCCCGGUACAGGAGACAGGACAAACCUGUGUUGCUUCUCCAGCUCUGUCACCAGCUCAUCCCUGCGGCAGCGUUGGGGGGUGGGAUGGCCUGUAAACGUUUUGCUGAACUCUUAUUAAAUAUUUCCCCCUUUCCCG